CCUACGGGGGGCAGCAGUGAGGAAUAUUGGUCAAUGGGCGCGAGUCUGAACCAGCCAAGUAGCGUGAAGGAUGACUGCCCUACGGGUUGUAAACUUCUUUUAUAAAGGCAUAAAGUGAGGCCCGUGUGCCUUUUUGUAUUUACUUUAUGAAUAAGGAUCGGCUCACUCCGUGCCAGCAGCCGCGGUACUACGGAGGAUCCGAGCGUUAUCCGGAUUUAUUGGGUUUAAAGGGAGCGUAGAUGGGUUGUUAAGUCAGUUGUGAAAGUUUGCGGCUCAACCGUAAAAUUGCAAUUGAUACUGGCAGCCAUGAGUACAGUUGAGGUAGGCGGAAUUCGUGGUGUAGCGGUGAAAUGCUUAGAUAUCACGAAGAACUCCGAUUGCGAAGGCAGCUUACUAAACUGCCACUGACAUUGAUGCUCGAAAGUGUGGGUAUCAAACAGGAUUAGAUACCCGUGUAGUC
rnacentral:rRNA from 1 species